rnacentral:rRNA from 1 species
UACGUAGGGUGCAAGCGUUGUCCGGAAUUAUUGGGCGUAAAGAGCUCGUAGGCGGUUUGUCGCGUCGGCUGUGAAAACCCGAGGCUCAACCUCGGGCCUGCAGUCGAUACGGGCAAACUAGAGUGCGGUAGGGGAGACUGGAAUUCCUGGUGUAGCGGUGAAAUGCGCAGAUAUCAGGAGGAACACCGGCGGCGAAGGCGGGUCUCUGGGCCGUAACUGACGCUGAGGAGCGAAAGCGUGGGGAGCGAACAGG